UAAUACAGAGGGUGCGAGCGUUAAUCGGAUUUACUGGGCGUAAAGCGUGCGUAGGCGGCUAAUUGAGUCGGAUGUGAAAUCCCCGAGCUUAACUUGGGAAUUGCAUUCGAUACUGGUUAGCUAGAGUGUGGGAGAGGAUGGUAGAAUUCCAGGUGUAGCGGUGAAAUGCGUAGAGAUCUGGAGGAAUACCGAUGGCGAAGGCAGCCAUCUGGCCUAACACUGACGCUGAGGUACGAAAGCAUGGGGAGCAAACAGGAUUAGAUACCCUGGUAGUCCAUGCCGUAAACGAUGUCUACUAGCCGUUGGUCUCUUUGAGGGAUUAGUGGCGCAGCUAACGCGAUAAGUAGACCGCCUGGGGAGUACGGUCGCAAGACUAAA
rnacentral:rRNA from 1 species